rnacentral:rRNA from 1 species
GACGAACGCUGGCGGCGUGCUUAACACAUGCAAGUCGAACGGGCCUUGUCCCCUUUUUUUUUGGGGGUGGGGUUAGGGGCGAACGGGUGAGUAACACGUGAGUAACCUGCCCCUCACUUCUGGAUAACCGCUUGAAAGGGUGGCUAAUACGGGGUGUUCUGGCCUGCUCGCAUGGGUGGGUUUGGAAAGAUUCGACCGGUUUGGUUGUUUUGGUGGGGGAUGGGCUCGCGGCCUAUCAGCUUGUUGGUGGGGUGAUGGCCUGCCAAGGCUUUGACGGGUAGCCGGCCUGAGAGGGUGGGCGGUCACACUGGGACUGAGACACGGCCCAGACUCCUACGGGAGGCAGCAGUGGGGAAUAUUGCACAAUGGGCGCAAGCCUGAUGCGGCGACGCCGCGUGAGGGAUGGAGGCCUUCGGGUUGUGAACCUCUUUCGCCAGUGAAGAAGGUCCUGCUCUUUGUGGUGGGGUUGACGGUAGCUGGGUUAAUGAAGCGCCGGCUAACUACGUG